rnacentral:lncRNA from 1 species
ACACCUGAGCUCGCCCUGCGGUCCCAGGCAGUGACUCCGCAGAGCCUCGGUGGGGGAGGGGACAGGGGAGAGAAUAGGGAAGAGGGGCGCGAUCUGUGUCUGGGACCCGUUGCCAAGAAACCCGACCCUCGGGCUCUGGCCAUCAGCAGCCGCGGUGCAGCUGCCUCCCCCUGCCUCCAGGUCGCCCAGCAGAGCUUUCUAGAGCUGGGUGCUCAGAAGACCCCAGGCGGAGGCAAGAACCUUGGGCCGCGGCUCUGUGGGAAAAGCCCUCGGGGAAGCCAGACGGCGCGCUCCAGCUCCCCAUCGCGGGCGUGGGCCCCGGGGUAGAGGCAGUUGGGUCGCGGCCCUGCCACCCCCAUGCUGCACGGCCUCGGCCCAGUGCCACCACCUCUGUGGGCCGCCGUUUCAGCCUCCAGAUGGGGUGGCGGCGGGCCCCAGCCCUUGCCCCAAGUCUCUAAGGAAGGGUCUGGCCUGGCCCGCCCAGAUCCGAGCUGCUGCGUACGCGCGGGGCUGGGAGCUGCAAAAACGCCCGGGGUCCGGGGUGAGCGGAUGGGCCCUCGGGGGACCCGGCGCGGGCGGGGGCUCCAGCUCCGCCCUGUUGGGGGCCAGAGCAGGAGGGAGGCCGCCCCAGCUUGUUCUGGGCCGCAGCCCUGCCGACCGCACGGGACAGGCGCCGCGUCCUCUCUGGGCCUCCAAGACGCAGACUAGAAGCCCAUAGCUGCUGGGAAGAUGGGCACCCCAGGUCUCCGCGCACGGCCUCCCCAGGGCCACGGUGAAACAUGGAUGCGACACUCAGGCACCUUCCCGGCCCCCGGCGAAAACGCAAAGCCUGAGCCCAUGAUGGGCUCGGAAGCUCUGCGGGAUUGAGUCAUCAGAGGAAUGCUGAUCUAGAAGUACAAUGACUGGAAGACACCCGCAGAAACCGCGGGCACUGGAGAGCAAGUGCAGCUUUAAUCUCCAGGCGUGAUUUAGAUGGAAAGCAGCCUGAAGACCAGUUAAGAGAACCGCGAGCAGAGCGCGCUGGACUAGCACCAACAGACGUGAGUUCGAGACCGGCCUUCCCCUUAAUCCUGUGUGACCUUGGUCCAUUUUUUAAGUCUGUGAGCCUCGCAGUGUUCUCAUUCCUGAAAAGAGCCUGCCCCAUCUCCGGACUGCAGUGAGAACAAAAGGAGACUAUGAACAUGACUUUUUGCCACUUUUGAAGCCCCACACUGAGGAAAGAUUUUCCUAGCACUUGGGAGAUUUUCUUUAGCACCAGCUGCCAAGAAUGCUGGGAAGGAGACAGCCCCAUCCCAGAAGGAAGACACCUUAAAUCAGAACUUUAUUUUUCCUCCUAUGAAAAUACAAUCUAAUACUGGAGAAGUGUAAAAAUUAAGGAGUCGUUAGAAGCCAUUUGUUGUUGUUGUUGUUGUUUUGAGACAGGAUCUUACUCUGUCACCCAGGCUGGAGUGAGGUGGCACGAUCAUUGCUCAUUGUAGCCUCCAACUCCUGGACUCAAACAAUCCUCCCUUCUCGGCCUCCCAAGUACCUGGGACGAGAGGUGCACUGGGCGUGGUAGCACACAUCUGUAGUCCCAGGUACUUUAGAAGCCGAAAAGGGAGGUCUCACUAUUUUGCCCAGGCUGGUCUCCAACUCCUGGGAUCAAGCCAUCCUCUUGCCUUGGCUUCCCAAAGUGUUGGGAUUAUAGGUGUGAGCCACUACUACCAGCCUGUUGUUUUAACUUUCUAUCAAAGAAAUGGAUGGAGGGUGGACAGGGAUGCUGGGUGCUUUAGAUUAGACUUGAAAGAGUUAACAGCAUAGGUUACGGAAUCACACAUACCCGAAUUGGAAUCUUGUCUUGACCCUUUACUACCACUGUUUCGUUAUGUUAGUGACUUAACCUCUCUGUGCUUCAGUUUCUUCAUCUGUAAAAUGAAGAAAAUGGCACCAACCUGUGGGGUUGUUGAGAAGAUGAAAUGCAAUACUGAAUGUAAAAGUGCCUGACAGGACCCAGCACAUGGUAAUACAUAAUAAAUGCUGGCUAGUUUUGGUUUC